AGAGUUUGAUCCUGGCUCAGAACGAACGCUGGCGGCAUGCCUGACACAUGCGAGUCGAACGAACCCUUCGGGGUUAGUGGCGCACGGGUGCGUAACGCGUGGGUAUCUGCCCUUGAGUUCGGAAUAACAGUUAGAAAUGACUGCUAAUACCGGAUGAAGUCUUCGGACCAAAGAUUUAUCGCCCAGGGAUGAGCCCGCGUAGGAUUAGGUAGUUGGUGGGGUAAAGGCCUACCAAGCCGACGAUCCUUAGCUGGUCUGAGAGGAUGAUCAGCCACACUGGGACUGAGACACGGCCCAGACUCCUACGGGAGGCAGCAGUGGGGAAUAUUGGACAAUGGGGGAAACCCUGAUCCAGCAAUGCCGCGUGAGUGAUGAAGGCCUUCGGGUCGUAAAGCUCUUAUACCAGGGAUGAUAAUGACAGUACCUGGAGAAUAAGCUCCGGCUAACUCCGUGCCAGCAGCCGCGGUAAUACGGAGGGAGCUAGCGUUGUUCGGAAUUACUGGGCGUAAAGCGCACGUAGGCGGUUACUCAAGUCAGAGGUGAAAGCCCGGGGCUCAACCCCGGAACUGCCUUUGAAACUAGGUGACUUGAAUCUUGGAGAGGCGAGUGGAAUUCCGAGUGUAGAGGUGAAAUUCGUAGAUAUUCGGAAGAACACCAGUGGCGAAGGCGACUCGCUGGACAAGUAUUGACGCUGUGGUGC
rnacentral:rRNA from 1 species